AAGGGGUUAGUCCAACAAAGACUUCUAAUUUCGGCUUAGACAAUUAUGGUGAGACCCCAUAACCCCCUU
rnacentral:tRNA from 1 species